rnacentral:lncRNA from 1 species
CUCCUUUGUCAUUUUUAUCUCCAAAUAGAAGACCUCUGUUUUCCCAGAAGAUUAAAUAGUAGAAAAGAAGUAGCCCAAGGUGGGUGACUCUGCAAACAGCCCUGGACAACUUUCAGGAAGACAGUUCUGGUCUGUAGCAAUUAACACAUGGUCAUCCUCAGAAAAAGGUCCUCUCAAUUAUUUCCCAGAGAUACCCAUAACUUAAAAUGCAGGAACCAAGAGAUUUGAGCCUAGACAUUUGGAUGAAAAGCGAUUUCCACCUGGAGAAAGUCACUGCCCUUCUGUGCAGAGUACCAUUGUGUCUUGAAUCCAGCUUGGCCAUAAGGAAAUGGGGCGAGACUUUGUCAUGUAUGUCGCUGAAGUUCAGCUAUGCAAAAAUGUUCACCUAUCCUUGAUCAACCAGUCCAGGAACCAUCAAAGAAGAAAAUGAGAUUCGACUUAGAAGACCUGUUCUUUAUAAACCCCUGCACAGCCCUAAUGAUCAACACCACUUCCAGUGCUCAUAAAUUACUGCUUCAAUAAUUGUUCUGCAAUUCUGCCUAUUCUCAUUGAAUGCUUCGUAUAAUCCCUUUAUUUACUUUGGGCUACGAUUCAUUUUUAUCAGUGAGUAUUGUACUUGUUUCAUCU